UACAGAGGUCCCAAGCGUUGUUCGGAUUCACUGGGCGUAAAGGGUGCGUAGGCGGUCGGGUAAGUCUGAUGUGAAAUCUCACAGCUUAACUGUGAAACUGCAUUGGAUACUAUCCGGCUAGAGGAAUGGAGGGGAGACUGGAAUACUUGGUGUAGCAGUGAAAUGCGUAGAUAUCAAGUGGACCACCAGUGGCGAAGGCGAGUCUCUGGACAUUUCCUGACGCUGAGGCACGAAAGCUAGGGGAGCAAACAGG
rnacentral:rRNA from 1 species